CGAGCCUGACGUCACCCGCUCUGAAUGAGCGCGCGGAGGCGGGCCGGGGCCGCCCGCCCAGCCGGGGCGGUUUAUCUCCUCGCGCUCGACAUGGCCCCGCCCAGGGGGGCGGAGCCGCUGCAAAGGCUCCGCCCCCUGCCGGCGGGGCGGCGCGUUUCCCUCAGCCGCUCCUCCCGCUCCGAGCGCCGGGCGGCCCGGCCUGUCGCAAACCUUCCCGCCGGGGCGGCCCUGCGCUCUCCUCGAUCCCUUCCCCGGUGACAGGGAAGUGGCACCUCGCGGCUCGGUGGUCCCCGUGUGGCUGGGAGCAGCGUCCGGCCUCCCCCAGGCGCCCCGACAGACCUCCCUGCGGGUCCGGGAUGGGGUUUCCCGGCCACGGGGAGAAGGGACAGAAUUGGCCCCAGCAGCCGGUCCCGGCCGGCUCACUAUACCUGCCCAAGGAACGCUUCCUAGGGUGUGUGGUGGCCUUGUGAAACGCUGCCACAGCAGCCACGGGAGGAUCCAGGUGCAUGUCCCAAAUUACAGACCCUGACGCAGAAUAUUCCAGCUCUUAAUACAGCGGCUUCUGUGGAGUAAAGCUGAGUAGGUGUGGGUUCAAAGGGAGGUGAUAAGUGGGGUUUUAGGAGAAGGGUGUUUCAUGAAUGAGCCUUCUGUUUCAUGUGGGUAAUGAAAGGCAGACCAUUCUCUCAGUAGGACUGCAGUGACUUCUCAGACUCGGUUUACCAAGUUAGGAAAUAGUGUCUUAUCUUCAGUUUUAUAAAACUGCAGUGAAUUCCAAGAGAUUCAAGAGGUUUUUUGUUUGACCAAAAACCAAACACGUCGAACAGUUGUAGUUUUUUUAGUACAGAUCAUUAUUUUUGACUGCAGUAAAUUUGGCAAAUGGAGAACAUGAUUUCUUCUCAGAAUGGAAAAGAAUGCUAGAACGAAUCAUUUUCCAGGAUGUUCCCAGUCCUCAGCUUGCCAUCCACCUCGAACGCGGCAAAACCGAAUCACCUCACAACCAGCAUUGCUGCCUCUCUUUGCAUCUCAGGAAUGAGUCCAGCAGACUAUGGUUCUUGUCAAGAAAAGGUGUGUCCCCCAAGCCGUACCCCCAUGCAGCACCUGGGCAGAAAACCAGACACAUCAGACCAGUGAGAAGACUGCACCGUAUCAUUCCUGCUACUAACUCAGGAGCUGUGCUUGCAGUGUUCAUCUUCUCCCUUUCUGCAGCUGAAGGAGUCUGUGUGAGAGAGAAAACAACCGAUUCCUGUCAAGACCAGCACACAGAGACAGUCUCAUUGUACAUAUGGAGUUUUUCUUUAAUGGACAGUGUUGGUUCUGUUUUGAACUUUUUUUACAAAUCACCCUAACUGUGUUACUAAAGGAGAAAAAUACUAUGGGACUAAAUUAUUUAAAAAUCCAAUGUUAUAAAAGCAUUAUAUAUUGAUAGACAUGGCAAUAUAUAAGUUUAUGAUUUUUAUUUCCUUAUUGUUAUGUUUUAUUGUGGUUGAGUAACAGUCAAACUAGUGCACUUCUUCCAUAAAGCAAUAAGAGUUUUCUACUUUCCUGGGCCACUUCUAAUUCUCUUUUCAGUGUGAGGGAUGUAGAACUUAAUCGCUGAAUGCUUCCAUUUCUUAAUGGCACGCUGCUGAGAUCAAAGAGGUUUGACAUUUUUCCUUGGUGUGCUGGCAGCUGAGGAAUGUGUGCACAUAUAUGAGUAAAAUAUUAAAAAUUGGCAGUGGAUGCUGUGUGUUAAUAGAAACAGCUCUGAUUUGUUAUACAUCUCAGACUCAGCAGUCUGGAGAGAGAAUGCGUGUCUGAAGGAACAAUGUGCAUGAGCAAUAGGAUUCAUAGUCCACAAAAAUCAAGCAAGAUUAGACUAACUAGUUGGUUCUUUCCUGAUCUGUGAUCAAACAGUUGUAGAAGGGACUAUGUAAGUUACUUCUAAAUAUAUUAGUGAUAUAUUGUUAAAACUAUGUUUUGUAAGUUUUUUAAAAUCAGGAUUCCUAGUUCAGCAGAAGAAGAUCACUCAUUAUGAAGAAGAAUUGCAAAAAAAUAGAGUAUUCCUGGAAGCUAAACCUAGAGUUGAGCAACCAGAAACGCAAACCCUUAAAAAUCACAAAAUGUGCUGGAAUGCUUGGGCUUUACAGUCUUUAUGAUUUCCUCUAAGUAUAGUACAAAGGAUAAUAUUUCCUUCCUCAUGAGAGCAUAGAGGAUUCAUUAAUUAAAGUUUGUGAAACACUCGGGUAGAAUGAUAAAAACUUUUGCUGGAAGGUGAAACAGGACCAGAUUUCUGCUUUGUAAGGAAGAUCCUGGUUUGCACUCCCUCUUUUGUUUUUUUCUUUUCACUCCUUUAUAGCACACUCUAGCAGUUGCAUUCUCAAAAUAUUUUAUCCUGCAGAUCUAUGGGAUAAGACUUAGUGAAUCACCAGUAUUUAAGUAUUGCUGAUGUGGAACACUUGCCAAAACCCACAAACCACUCAGUACUUUGCAGUUUGAGAGAUCUUGUGCGCCAAGUAAUAUUUUACAAGUCCUGAUGCUGUUACCCAGUUUUGCAGGAAGACAUCUUUUCAAACGUGAGAUAAUAAAUGAUUGCAUGUAAUGGGCUGUUCCUGUCAUAAAACUGCAACUUAAUUAGAAUCCACUAAUCAUUCUGCAUUGCACUGAGUGGCAUUUUAAACAUAUAUUAUUUCUGUGUCGGUAUCUUUCAUAGGUCUCAAGUAGAUAGUUGACUGUCUGUGUAAAAGACAGUCCCUGUUCCAAGCAGACUACCAUCUCGACAAUCAAAGCAGACAAAGAUGAAGUGAAACUAAAUAAAUACUGCUUCCACAGACAGGAGAAAGUAAGAGAAAUUUAAUUACCUGCCAAAAGAGUAUGCCAGAUAUCUACAGUUGAGUCUGAGCUCUAUGUGGAUUCCUACAGUUUAGUUAAAUGUUCAGGCUUCUUUCGUAGCUAAGUGAAAAAUAAUUACCAAGUAAACUGAUAAAAGUCCAUUACUGAUCACACAGAUCUGUGAUCCCUGUUACUCAUGCAUCUCUAACUGUAGGAAUGAUCCAGAUUCAGAUGAGGUAACCAGAGAUAUGUGCCAAUAUAACUUUUCUUCUUACUUCAUUUUUAAUGACAGAACCUUCAUUUUCACAUCUAAGUGUAAAUGCAGAGUAUUCAGUCUUGUUAUAAACAGGCGUGAUGAUUUGGAUCUGUUUCUUUUCUAGUUGAAAAAUCAUUUAUAGCAUAGUAGCAAGGCUGUUGUGAGAUACUUUCUUAAUUAUAUCCAGAGCCAAAAUUCGGUUUGACUGCAAUGAUAUUCCAAUGCACAGAUCGCAGCGCUGAGUACCUACACAUGUGAUUGACAGCAUGAACAUGUGUGCUUCCUGGCUCUCUUGGAUCAGCUGCUAUGUUUGGUAACAAACGUUGUGAAGUGCCGCCGUGGAACUAGUUCAGACAAAACCACACUUAGCAAAUUUUUCCCUCUAGCCUUGUCCUUUUGGCAGGUUAGUUGUAUUUCUUUAAAACAUAAAGACCAUUUUAAAAUAAGGUUGUGGUGCAGGUGCCAGCCAUUGUUAAACCUUGGAUUUCAUUAACGCAGUGUAAAAAACUGUAAAAAAAAAGCUGUAGAUGGUACCGUGAAUAUUAAAACCAUUGUUAAAAACAGCUGAUUACAAACUUUCAAGAGAUGGUUUAACAGUAUAAUUGCUGUUAAUUUGGAAUAAUCACAAGUCUGAAAAUUACCAUCCUAUUUAUUGGAGUUUACGCUAUCAUCAAACUGACUAGUACACAGGCCGUACUCAGUAUGUAGCAGUUCUGCAGCAGAGCCAGGGCUUGAAACCAGAUCUCCCACCUUUCAGGUUUGAGCAAUAUACUGUCUUCAGUUUAGUUUUUGUUCAUCUGUGACAAUAUUCGUUAUUUAGCUUGAACCUAUACAUCAAAGCUAAUUAAACCUCAAGGAGAAA